UCGGCCAGGGGACCCCAAAGCAUCCCGUGCGGCAGCCUCGCUGGGAACGCACGUGUUCCCUGGUGGCUUCCCAGCAGGUGGUGCACAAGUGGCCCGUGGACGUUUUCAGGAGGUUUUUCCUUCUCAUGAUUGCAGAGACAAGAUCCCUACCCCGGUCACCCUCAGGCCUGUGUGCGCCAUGGGGUGCAUCACCACCAGCCAUUGUCACAUGCUUUUCUAAUUGAAAUGGGAACUUAUCCUACUCUUAGGCAGACACGCCUAAAGUUCCCGCACAAACGCUCCAGGGACUAAGCAGCGCCUUCUGCUGUCCGUAACUCGAGGGUUUUGCGAGUCCUCUGUUUGGCCACCAAGAGCAGUUUGUUUGUUUGUUUGUUUGUUUGUUUGUUUUUCGUAACUCGAGGGUUUUGCGAGUCCUCUGUUUGGCCACCAAGAGCAGUUUGUUUGUUUGUUUGUUUGUUUGUUUGUUUGUUUGUUUUUCGAGACAGGGUUUCUCUGUGUAACAGUCCUGGCUCUCCUGGAACUUCCUUUAUAGACCAAGCUGGCCUUGAACUCAGAGAUCCGCCUGCCUGUGCCUUCCAAGUGAUGGGAUUAAAAGCCUGCACCACCACUGCCAGGCUGAGCAUUUUAAAGACCUGUGGUCCGAAUUCUAGAAAAGAAAACACGUGUACAGUCCUCUAGCACAAAGGAAAGACUCAGAGACAGCCCAGUCCAGGCUGGAAGGAAAAGGGAACCAUGCAGAGCCUGGAGCGGUGGAAGCCAAAAGUCUCUAGCGCUCCGCCAGGACCAGGUAGCCGGCCAUCUUCUGCCGUGACUCAGCGGGAGGUUUCAGGGUGCCUGUCUACUGGCAGCGGCUUGAGCCUCCAGUGAGAACCAGCUUAAGGGCUGCAAGCACCCAGCCCUAAAGAGGUACACUUAGUGCUGCCUGUAUGUGAAUGGGUGUAGGGCCAUCUACCAUUGUAGCCACUCUGGUGGGACCUACCUGAAGAAAACUGACUCUCCCUCUCCUAUGGCCAUCAGUUGACAAUAGUUCCUCAGCUAAGGAUAGGACUUUGUGCUGGGACUUUGACUUGAACUUUCCCAGGUCUUGUGCAUGCUGUCCCUGUCUUUGUGGGUUCAUAUAUGCAGAUGGCCUGUUGUGUCCUGAGCCAUCUACUCUCUCUCUCUGCCUCUUAGAAUCUUUUUGCCUCCUAUUCUGCAAAGAACCCUGAACCUCAAAGGUGUGUAGGCAAUAAUGACAUCCAUUUAGGGCUGAGAACGCCAGUCUCUUAUUCUAGUGCAUUGACCAAACUAUUAAUCUCUGUGUUAAUCACUAUCCAAUGCAAAAAGAACUUCUCUGCAAGAAUUAAAAGAUUCACUAAUCCAAGUAUGGCGUACAGGGCUGACUGAGGUCUUCUCUGUAAACAAAGGCUUACUACAGUAACCUUUAGGGUAGCCGUUUGUAAUGGAGAUAGAAGAUGAAGCCUAAGAUAUUGGUGAAGGCCUGGAAUACCACUCCCAGAGGAUGAGACAGGAAUACCGUCUCAAGUUCAAAGCCAACCUGGGCUUUAUAAGGAGAGUACCUCAAAAAAGAUAGAAAGAACAGGCCAUGGUGGCACAUGCCUUUAAUCCCAGCACUCAGGAGGCAGAGGCAGGUAGAUAUCUGUGAGUUCAAGGCCAGCCUGGUCUGUUCCAGGACAGACUCCAAAACCCUGUCUCCAAAAACAAGAGAGAGAGAGAACAACUCUACCCAAACAUCUGGCUACAUAAAGAAUCAGACAUAAUAACACAGUAACCGACACAAUAGCACAAUCUCCACUUCCAAGAGACAGUCACCAAACCAUCCAGAAGAUGAGGGCAAGUCAACAGAAUCAAACAGACUGGCCUUUAACUUCUCUGGGCCUCCUGUCUCCACCUUCCAAAUGCUAGGAUGACAGGUAUGUAUUGAAGGAACCAGCUUCCCUUUUGGCAGCCAUAACGGUCCAACAUGUGCUUCUAUGACCUUGUCCUAGAAACUAGAAAGUCAGAUGCCUGUCUCGUGACAAGGAACCAACCGGAAGUUAGCUGGUGGCGCUAUGCUUUACGACCCUGGGUGUGCUUUACGGACAAGCCCACAGCAAUGACGUAGAGAGCAUAGCAACCACUCUGGGAGGGCCUAUGGGCCAUAACAACCAGUUGACCAAUCAACACAGGGCAAGCCCUCCAAGCCUGGAAGCACAUCAAUCGUGAGCCUGUGCGUACCCCUAGACACUCCCCUUACGCUGCCCUAUAAGAUCUUUUGGGAGACCCUAGGAGC
rnacentral:lncRNA from 1 species